rnacentral:rRNA from 1 species
CCUACGGGAGGCAGCAGUGAGGAAUAUUGGUCAAUGGGCGAGAGCCUGAACCAGCCAAGUCGCGUGAAGGAUGACGGCCCUACGGGUUGUAAACUUCUUUUGUCAGGGAGCAAUUGGGUCCACGCGUGGGCUUAGCGAGAGUACCUGAAGAAAAAGCAUCGGCUAACUCCGUGCCAGCAGCCGCGGUAAUACGGAGGAUGCGAGCGUUAAUCGGAAUUACUGGGCGUAAAGCGCUCGUAGGCGGUAUGUCAAGUCAAGGGUGAAAUCCCCGCGCUCAACGUGGGAACUGCCUUUGAAACUGGCAAACUGGAGUGUGUGAGAGGAUAGUGGAAUUCCAGGUGUAGGAGUGAAAUCCGUAGAUAUCUGGAGGAACAUCAGUGGCGAAGGCGACUAUCUGGCACAUAACUGACGCUGAGGAGCGAAAGCGUGGGUAGCAAACAGGAUUAGAUACCCGAGUAGUC